rnacentral:pre_miRNA from 1 species
CCUUGCUGACGUUUCAAGUACUUGAUCUAGUCACAUGCUUCAACAUGCUUCAACUCCUGAAGCAUGUGACUAGAUCGAGUACUUGAAACGUCAGCAAGGUUG